AAAGGAUGACAAAAACAAAGUAGUCCGUGUAAUAAUUGAAGGGGUGUUGUGUGAAAAUUUGGAUUAUAGCAAGAUAGUAGCAUGAGACCAGUGUUUAACUGAAAAUUAACAUUGAUAACUCUCUAUAAAAUUUCACGAAGUGGAAAUCUAUUCAACAUGGCUUCAGUAUAGUGUGUGUUUCAGACAGGAAUUUCUCGUAAAAGCAUUAUGAUUCGUGAAAGUUGUUGAUUGUAUUGUAGAGCAGAAAUUUAGUACAAUCAUUGUGCAGAAGUUAAUUAAAAUAUUAUCUUUGGCAGUAUAUCUAAAGUAAUAUCAUAGUUUGACUAUAAUUGUAAACCUUAAUCUAUAUGAAAGAAAAAUUUUGCACAGCCUUUAUAAAAAAAAAUACUGCAAAUUGAUAAACUUCCUAGAGAAUAGAUUUAUUCUAUGAGGGGUAUAUUUAAAUAAAACAAGUAGGCUAUGUCAUCUCACAUAAGGGCGAUAUUGUGUGUGCUUAAAAUAAAAAUAUCUUUGUGGCGUUUAUUAAUGUUAGUGUGGCGACUGUGAACAUAUGACUUGGGCUCUAAAUUACGAUUGAUUAAUGUUUCUGAAAGAAUAGACAGUUUGUUAGAAAGAUGUACUAAAAAAUAUGUCGAUCCAUCAUAAAAAUAGCAUCGAUAUCGAUAUAAAACGAUACGAUAUAUUUCAAGGUCUAGGUUAAAAUAUUGUUAAUCUCUGCUGAUUCAUUAUUGAUAUAUUGAAACGAAAUAAUAUAUAUUUUCUACUCAAUUCAGAUUCAAAAUAAUGGCAAAUAGAACGGCAAGCAGGCCAGCUAAUGGGCAAAACAAAAUCUGUCAAUUCAAACUGGUCUUGUUGGGAGAAUCAGCUGUCGGAAAAUCAAGUUUAGUAUUGAGGUUCGUCAAAGGACAGUUCCAUGAGUUCCAGGAAAGCACGAUUGGAGCGGCAUUCCUCACCCAGACCGUUUGCUUGGAUGACACUACCGUCAAAUUCGAAAUAUGGGAUACUGCGGGUCAAGAACGAUAUCAUAGUUUAGCACCAAUGUAUUAUCGUGGGGCUCAAGCAGCUAUUGUUGUCUACGACAUAACGAAUCAGGACACGUUUAGCAGGGCUAAAACGUGGGUGAAAGAAUUACAGAGGCAAGCCAGUCCAAAUAUUGUUAUUGCUCUAGCUGGCAAUAAAUGUGACUUAUCUAACAAACGCAUGGUCGAAUGUGAGGAAGCUCAAGCAUACGCCGAAGAAAAUAGCCUCCUUUUUAUGGAAACUUCUGCAAAAACUGCGAUGAAUGUAAACGACAUAUUUUUAGCAAUAGCGAAAAAAUUGCCGAAAAAUGAUGGUGGAUCGGGUGGAAAUGGUUCUUCGGGUGUCAGCUUGGAAAGGACAGAUCCUAGUUCUGGUGGCGGAUGCUGUAAAUGAAGAAUGAGACUAUUAAUUAUUUUUGAGAUGCUAACCGAAAUAUUAUAGGGUUUUUUUAUAUAGUGACAACUGACGCUCUGUGUACUUUUUCUCUGAAACUCAAUAAUAUUCGUAGCAUCCUGCAUAUAAAAAAGUUCCAUAUGAAUGCCAUCACUACGUAUUGAUAACAUUUUACGAAUACAAGCAAAUUGGUACGGACUAUUAUCUUUUUUAUUAAUCAUGAUAUUUAAUUGUAUGAACUUGUCGCUUUAUUGUUGAUUAGUUAUGCUGAAAGUUUUUGUUAUUGACUACAUUUAUAACUUCGAAUAUGAUUCCUAUGUACAUAUAUGCAUAACUAGGAAUGAGUAUUAUUCAAACUUAAUUUCAUGUGCAAUGUGUCUAAAAACGUCAAAGCAUUCACUUAAAAACCUGUGCUUCGUAAUGCGAAUACUUUAAUUCCAUAUAAUCAUAGUUGAAUGUUCAAAUAAUUGCAAUGUAUAAAAUAUCGGUAAUAAAAGAAAUAAAAACAAAGUAAUCUCA
rnacentral:misc_RNA from 1 species